rnacentral:rRNA from 1 species
UUGGGAAUGCUGCUCAAAAUGGGAGGUAAAUUUCUUCUAAAGCUAAAUACCGGCCAGAGACCGAUAGCGCACAAGUAGAGUGAUCGAAAGAUGAAAAGCACUUUGAAAAGAGGGUUAAAAAGUACGUGAAAUUGUUGAAAGGGAAGCGCCUGUGACCAGACUUGCGCCCCGCGGACCACCCGGCGUUCUCGCCGGUGCACUCUGCGGUGCGCAGGCCAGCAUCGGUUCUCCCAGGGGGACAAAGGCCGCGGGAACGUAGCUCCUUCGGGAGUGUUAUAGCCCGCGGCGGCAUGCCCCUGGGGGGACCGAGGACCGCGCUUCGGCAAGGAUGCUGGCGUAAUGGUCACCAGCGACCCGUCUUGAA